UCAGAAAAAGAUUUAAGAAUUGACUCGAUGUAACGCUCCCAAAUCUGGGGCUACCUUCAAACUCGGAAUCUGGUGUUACUCAAUCAAUACAUCUCAUUAUAUCAUAAAGAUAAUUACAUUAUCCUUACAAAACUUCUGCGGAAACUUACUUUCUACUCCCAGGUACGAAGGCCUUAACUAAUGAUUACCAAUUUAAGUUUAUUUUUCUUACGUGAUUUAGCUCAGAAAAAGAUUUAGAAUUUUGACUCAAUGUAUCGCCCCCAAAUCCGAGUCUACCUUCAAACCCAAAAUCUGGUGUUAAUCGAUACAUCUCAUUAUAUCAUAAAGAUAAUUACAUUAUCCUUGCAAAACUUCUACGGAAACUUACUUUCUACUCCCAGGUACGAAUACCUUUACUAAUACAUCAUCUAAUAUUCUUUACAAUAUUACAUCAGUACUAAUUAUUAUAAUUAAUACACAAAUCUUCUAACUUUAUCUUUUCCUUCUCUUCGACGCUACCGGAUUCUUUGGUCCGCUCUGGCUUAGCUACAAUUAUUUAGUUUAAACAAAAGUGAGCAUUUAAUUGCUUAGCAAGUAAUAGGUAAUUGAAUAAACAACAAUCUCAAGAAUAUAAUAAUAUUCUUCUGAAAACUUCAACAAUUGAACAAUAAUUGUGAAGUUGCUCGAAUAAAUAGGAAUUAACUAGAUUCUUAUCAUUUAACAUUUCUAUCAUUAUAUUAAGAGAACAUUCUCUAACUUUCUUACUGAAAGGUCAUUAGCAUCUUAAACUCUUUCUUCUUCUCAUAAGGUGAAACAGUGUCCUCUAACUGUAAACCUACAAAAAACUUAACAAGUCUACAGUCAAUAUAUAUAUAUAUAUAUAUAUAUAUAUAUAUAUAUAUAUAAGAACAGCACAUCACGAGUUUUCAACCAAAUUAACAAUAUAUUAAACCGAGUAGUUUCCUCAACUAGGAACUUAUGAAUUAGUUCCCCAUCUUAUCAACACUAUCUGAGUAGUUUCCUCAACUAGGAACUUAUGAAUUAGUUCCCCAUCUUAUCAACACUAUCGCCAAUGUCUCCAGUGCUACACUGCAACACGGUCUCUUCAGUGAGCUAGAUCGGUUUCCUAACUCAUGUAAAACCUCUGCCCAUACAAAGGAUUGUUUAAUUCAAUUACUAACAUGUUAACAGCUAAAAAGCACGUUAUUACACCAAUACAUUUCCGCCCCAAAACAAUUUGAUUUGGAUUAGCUAUACUUAGCACCAAUGACUAUUUCAUUACUAUGACACAACCCGUGUCUAUUUCAACUCUUAAUUCUUAACUCCUCUAUAUUAGGGUUUCUCCUGUCUUUGUUACACCAGAAUCCGCACCAAUUUAAUCUAGUUUGGAUUAGCUUUCCUUAACUUCAAUGAAUUCUCCACAAUUCAAUUUAACACCUCUACUGUGUCUUAGCCAAAACAAUUAGCAUAGACAUAUUUCUUAACAUAGUUCGCUAAUAGACGAAACUUAAAAUCAGUUCCAUUUUUAGAACUUUUCUUCUGUUUGCACGUAAUUGCAGAUAUUGGCCUAACACAUUACACAUAACAGUUAGCUACCAUAUUGAAUCACAUAACACACAUUCUUGCACAGAGUGCAAGAUAACACCAAUACAUGCCCAAAUUAUUUGACUUAGCACCAUUAACUUAUCACAAUUCAAGAAUUAGUACAACACAUCUCAACAAUAAAUAAUCCGACUGGAAUAGCUCAACAAAUCGAGUUAGGCAAAAUCAAAUGGCAAUAACUCCUUUUCAUAGCUUAUAUCACAUGAUACAAUAAAUUUCAUAUAGCAAAUGAAAUUCCACGGUCUAAACACAUGUCUUGCACAGAGAAAUAACAUGUACAAGGUCAUACAAUACUUGCAUUCAAUACAAUAAAUUGAAUGAAAGUUAAGAUACUGGCUAAAUAUCACAAAUUUGAGUAAGUUUAGGAAACCUACCUUCUACGCGAUUUACUGGAAUGCUACAAAUUCCUCUUCGAAUGACCUAUAUAUCAUUAAGGUCAAACAUACCAAUUAGCCACAUAAAUGACUCCAAAUAUUGGUUUACAUUAACUUAUUUAUAUACCACGAUGCUCGUGUUUUACAACUCGAAACAACGUAACCCAACUCCAAGAACAUCGCACGAUGGCACUGCGUUCAAAAGUUGGCGCCUUUGGUCUUCUUCUCUUAUUUUAGCCUCACUCAUAGUUUAGACUUCAAUUUCAAAGUCCCCGAUGUUCGCAUUUUAUAACCCGACACAUCUUAAAUAAUACUCUUAUUAAUCUCCGAUGUUCGCCACAUAUAGCUCGGAACAACGUAGCAUAACAUUGCACGACUACUCGGAGUUCGAGAGUCGACACAUAUUGGUUUACUUCCGACCAUUGAACUUUAGUGAUUUUUGGGUAUUGAGCCACUUUCUUUUAGGUCAACGCAAACCGAGUCCUUUUCUAUUCAAAAAUUUGGACUUUGAACCCCCAGGCUCCACAUGUGCGUUGACCUGAUGACGUGUCACACGUGGCGCCUACGUGGCAUCUGACGCGGCAUUUUAUAUUUUAAUUCGACACGUGGCAGAUCUGAUGUGGCUUCUUUCAAUUUUUUCCCAAAAAAUUGAUUCCAAUGGUUUGAAUUCACAACCUAAGUUUGAAACCUUAUUCAUAUGACCACUGGAACACCAUGGGUCAGUUGUUAACAUCUUGCAAGGAUUAAUAAUUAUAUCAAAACAUUUCAUAGAGCUACCUAGCUAGGCGGCCAUUUCAAAUGUAGCUUUGGUGUUAAUAAUAAUAAUUAAUAACAAUAAUAAUAACAAUAAUAAUGAUAAUAAUAACAAUAAUAAUAACAAUAAUAAAAAUAAAAAUAAUAAUUAUAAUUAUAAUAAUAACAAUAUUAAUAAUAAUAUUAAUAAUAAUUAUACUAAUAAUAAUAAUAACAAUAAUAAUAAUAAAAAUAAUAAUUAUAAUAAUUAUUAUAAUAUUCUAAAUAAUUAUACUAAUAAUAAUAAUGAUAAUAAUAAUUAUAAUAGUAAAUACAACAAUAGUAAUAGUAAUAAUUAUAAUAAUUAUUAUUAUUAUAAUUAUAAUAAUUAUUAUUAUAAUAAUAGUAAUAAUAAUUAUUAUUAUUAUUAUAACUAUAAUAUUAAUAGUAAUAAUAAUAAUAACAAUAAUAAUAACAAUAAUUAUAAUAAUAAUAACAAUAAUAAUAAUAAUAAUAAUAAUAAGUUAACGAAUGGUAAUAUUAAUACUCGAGAUGGUAAUAUUAAUACUCGAGACUACCACCAAAUUAUGGCAUUAGAGAACAUGGUUUCAGUUCUUGCUCAUAGCCACAAUUUGCAUAUAAAAAGAAUGCGUCAGACUCAAGAUUAUUACAAACUAUGAAUGCUAUUACUAUUACUAUUACUAUUUGAAAUGGCCGCCUAGGUAGGUAGCUCUAUGAAAUAUUUUGAUAUAAUUAUUAAUCCUUGCAAGAUGUUAACAACUGACACAUAGUGCUCCAGUGGUCAUAUGACUAAGGUUUCAAACUUGAGGUUGUGAGUUCAAAUCAUUGGAGAGACAAAUUUUUGAAAAAAAAUCGAAAGAAGCCACAUCAAAUCUGUCACAUGUCAAAUUAAAAUAUAAAAUGUCGCGUCAGAUCUGUCACAUGUUCCACGUAGGCGCCACGUGUGACACGUCAUCAGGUCAACGCAUAUACGGCGCUUGGGGGUUCAAAGUCCAAAUUUUUUAAUAGAAAGGGACUCAAUCUGCGUUGACCGAAAGAAAGGGACUCAAUACCCAAAAACCACUAAAGUUCAAUGGUCGACUUUACAUUUAACCCCUUCCCCAUUUAACCCAAGUCACGACUUACAUUUCAAAGUGCCUCCAUGACCAUAUUAUUAAACUUCAUUUCAUAUCCUAUAUAAUGUUUCUUUUUAUUAGAAACGAAACAUUAAACAAUGGUAUAAACACGCGGCACGACGUCGCGUCGUUCGCACGUCCGACUUACAGUCACGAACGCCCGACACCCCCAGCCGCUCCAGCAGCACGCCUACUUCCUCCUUAGCGCUGCCGCGCCCGAAAUAAGGUUGGGAAUGGCACGGCCAGGCCCAACCAGCAUAACCAAAUUCCAGCUUUCCCAAAAUUUUCAGCUUUUGUCGUUUUCAUCGACAGUACUUCACAACUUCAUAACUUGCUCAUCCGAUGUCGAAAUGAGUCCAUUCUUCAGCUAUUUUUUUACAUGUAACAUACCCUACAAAACCCCCUGAAAAGAAAAUUUUUCAUCAUUAACAAGCCAAACCAGUGCCUUAAAAAUCCUUCGUGGGCUAGUUUUUGCUAUAUGACAUUCUAACAUUCAUUUUUCAAAUCUUCUUAACUUGCUUAUCUGAAGUCGGAUUGAGCUCAUUCUUUAUCCUACGGCUCACUUAUUCUAUGUUCUAUCAAACCACCUUAAAAUCUCAAUUUUUCGGAUGAGUUAACUAGCCACAAUUCUAGCCUGAAAGUCACCCAAGACCUAGGUUUUCAACUUUUAACAUACUCUACUAAAAAUUUCGCCAUCACUACGUUAUAGCUUAUUUUUACUCUGUUCCACUUGGGUUAUUUAUGUUACUCAUAAGAGCAUGAAACCCUCUUCCUGGAACUCAAUAACUUACGAACAACAAAUUACGCUACUCCGAUUUACAGUCCACUACAAGUUCUUGAUCAUCCAUUACGCUUAGGCUUACGUUUUUAUUUUCGUUUGCUUUUCAUGCACAUUAUCGGUGAUUUAGACGUAUAUACAUCAUCACAACCACCUUAUUCCUCUGGAUCCUUCAUGACUCUCAACAACCACAACCAUCAUCACCAAGCUAAUAAAAACUUUAGAGAUGGAUGAAUAGAAAUUAGGGUUUUAGUAUUACCUUCUUCUUGAUAGAGCUUGCUAACUUGGUAGCUACUUGCUCUCUCCUCUUCUUCCUCUAGCUCCACCCGGGCUCUCUCUCUCUUUCUCAACUAGCUCUCAACUCUUGUUCUUGCUCUUAGAUGAAAUGAAUCAAGAUUGGGAAAGAGAUGAGAACUUUGGCCUAUAUAAUACAACUUUGCAAUGCUUGCAAGUUGAUCAUCCAACUCAAGUCUUCAUAAGUCAAUCCCCUUGACUAACAUAACUUUCUAAUCACCCCCUAGUUUAACCUAACCAUCUAUCAAGUUAACCUAACCUGGGUUUACCAUUAUGGUUAUUUGGUGGGGGGAAAUGAUGAUAACUUGUAAAGUGCAACUUACUAUUUAUAGUAAGUUGCCCUUCGACUCCCCCAAAGGCCAAUGGUCGGACCCCCUCCCCUUCUAACUAAUCCGAUUAGCUUUCUAGUUACCUUUCGUAACUCGUUCGAUUAGCAAAAUGUCAAUUUUGCCCUUUUGUAUUUUUUAAUAGAGAAUGUCUCUAACCCCCGAAUAAACGCCAUGACGUAAUUCAAAAAGUCGAAAAAACGUAAAAGCGUUUUCUGCUUGAAUAAUGUUUUUGCGUUUUUUUCUCGGAAAAAUUUUAUUUCCUUGUACAAAAUAACACCUAAAUUCAAUAACCUAGGUCUUUAAUUCAACCUUUAAACACAUACGAUCUCAUUACGCUCAUUGUUUAGUAUAAUUUAGAUUGAACCUCAACCAACAUACUCUUAACUUCUCGCACCCUCUCUUGAUUCUCCUUAUUGGCUUAACACUAGGGUUUGCCAACUAGGUUAAUUCGUACUCGAUUAAUACUCGCAUAACUUACAUACUAGCAAAUAAAUAUAUAAUACACAUUUAUUCAUUCAUCACAUCUACACCGAAUAAUAUCCAUAAAACCUUAUUUUAUUUUAUUAGGCAUAUAUUCAUAAACCUAAUUACAAGGUUAUACGACUUUCUCGGUCGUCACACUCAACCUUAGCAAGAAGGAUAUGAAGUAUUGGAACAACAAAAAUUUGGACUUGCAUUAACUAAAGAUAUAUCUUGGCUUCAAUGACUCCCUUCCAAAUAAAUAACAAUCGUCUCCACAAUUUCACGUCAACAAUGAUUCAAAGUAGAUGUGGAGAGAUGCUAAGGCCUAAGUAAACUAGUUACAAUCUUCAACUGUUGACUCAAAGUAGAUGAAGAGACAUUCUAAGUAAACUAGUUACAAUCUGCAAAUUAGUCCACCUCUUGAUGCAGGACUAUCCCAUGAGACUUGGUUGGAUAAAGCUUUGGAAGCCCAUGGAAAACUAAAAAUAAAAAAAAAAUAUUACAAGUUGUAUUUAGUUUAUUUAUAUUUAUUUACUUUGUAUCUAAUUUUAGUAAUUACCUAAUUAAAAUCAAUUUGGGUUUGGAAAGUUGUUUAAGAGUAUUACAUAUAGGGAUGUACUCUUACUUUUGAUAUUAAAUUAUAAGAAGUAAAUGAGAAUUUAGAAAAUUAUUUGUGAGAAUUAAAUGCAAUUCUACGACAGCUUGACACCUAUCGUAUUUCUCUAACCUAUAUGUCCCUCUCACUUGUAUCAAUCCUUAAUGCUUUACUCUCCUAUAUUUUGGUUAACAACGGUGACGAGCAAUAACUCCAUCUCUCUUUCUCUAGUUCUUUCAGUUAGCAACGACUCGAUUCAUGGUUGAGUUCUUCAUAUUUCUCAAUUAAAGAUGAUUCAAUUCACGUCGAUCUCUUCAAACCAUAUUGUCAAGAUUUUCUUUUGUUCUUUCAACUCUUACAGAUUUCUUUUAAGGCUUACACCUUGACAAGAAGUCAUCCAAGGGAAUAAUUACACGGCCAAGGUUCUCGCCUUUCUGAAAUGCCAAUCACUAGACUUGCUCCUUCUGCAUUGUCCUUGAGGUCACAGGUCAGUUAUAAGAGACUACAUAAUUCGAAGGAGGAAGGUUGGAUUAAUAAAUACUAUCUCCAUUCCAUAAUAAUAGUCGUUUUAGCUUCAUGCACAUGAAUUAAGAAAGUCAUUUAAUACUAUCAUUUAUGAAUUAAAAUUUGUAUGAAAUUCCAUCACUACCCAUUUAUGGGGAAGUUAAAAAUUAUUAAUACAAGGGAUAAAAUUUCUGGGACAAUAAGAGAAAUUAAGGGUGAUAUAGGAAAAUAAAUAAUUUAUUAUACUAGAAAGUUGUAAACAACAAAUUGAAACAAAUUUUUUUCUUCUAAAAAGUCAAUUAUUAUGGAAUAGAGGUAGCAACCUUUAGGGGUAUCAAAUGGCCUUACGAGUAAAAAGUAUAGUCCUUGGACUCAUGGAUUAAUUAAUCCAAGGACAAACAAGUGCUUUAUAAUUUUAAAGUAUUAUGAAUAAGUAUAAAUAGUCCAAUCGUAUCAUUAUUAUAAACAAACAUAGCCCUAAUGGAAAGAUGCAACAUAAAAUUCCCAAUUAGCAUGGGAUCAAUAUAAAAUUUUGUUACAACUUUUCAUAAUAUCUAAAUGCAUUCCACAAUUUGUCAAAUCUCAAAGAGGCAAUUACCUUAAUUUUUUGCUCCUUUGGAGCAGAGACAGUGGCAAAAUUCCUCGAAAACUGAAACAGAGGGGAAAAAAGAUAAUGAAAUUCUAAGUUCCACGAUUGCUAGAACGCUUCAAUCAAAAUAAAAAUAACUUCAUAUGUGUGCUAACAGCAUAAUGGGCUUUAGUCAAAACCCAGUAAAACAACUUAUCAAAAAAAACCAGUAAAGCAACUUAUCAAAAGAAAACCCAGUAAGACAACUUAUCAAAAGAAAACCAAGCAAGACAACGUAUCAAAAGAAAACCAAGUAAAACAAUUAAUCAAAAGAAAUCCAACGAGAACGUUGAAUUUUUUCUUUCAUUUUACAUCAAAAGAACAAGUUAAAGGUAAACAGUAUCAUUUUGAAAUUCACAAUAAUGUCUUGUCAAAAUUAAGUAUCUCUUCACCAGUCCAUCCCAAAAUGAGUCACAUUUUAAUGAGACGCAUUCUCAUAUUCUCAGGAAAAAAACAUAUAACAAGUGACAUGAAGCCCAAAGUUUUCUUUAAUCGACAAUGAUUUAAUUAGCUUUCAUUUUGUUAAUUAAAAUGAGUUAGGAGAUUAAGUGAAAAUUUGACAAAUUCUCCUAAAACAUGGCUCGCUCUUUUUUAAAAUUGGAGCUGAUAUUUCAAGAGAGUAUUAAAUAUUUAAGAACACUUGGCAUUUAAAAUAACAAUCCCAUUUCUAAUCUUAGACUCGUGAAGAUUAUAUGUGUGUGUGUGUUUGUGGAUGUCCUACAAAGAAUACCGAAAACUUGACAAAUUAAAAACAACUAACAUUAGAAAAAUGAAUCUCAUUUCUCACAGUUUCUCAUCAAACAAGUAUCACAUUCAUAGACGAAAAACAAAGAUUAGACAAAUGAAUGUCAGACCAAAUCUUUAACACGUCAAAAUCAAAAUUAGCAAAAGAAAAGGAAAAGACUAAAACUUAAGAUUAGUUUAUACCUCGGGAUUGGUAAAAGUAAGGCACGGCAAGGUUCGUUGAAGGGAUGACCUCUGAAAAGAGAUCGAAUCGAUGUCAGAGCUUUACUGAUUAGGGGUACAGAUGAUCUCAGACGCCCAACCAUUGACAUUCCCGAAACCCUAGUUUUCCUUCUUUCUUUGUUUGUGUUUGUGUUUGUGUUUGUGUGUGCUUGUGA
rnacentral:lncRNA from 1 species